CUUGCAUCUCAGCUUUUUGGACAGCUUUGCUGCGUCGAAAGGGCCCGAGAUGGUAACCCUGUUCUUGGUGUUCUCGAAAUCAAUCUUCCUGAUGUUCUCCUUUGCUGCAAGCAGGUCCAAAGGCAAAGGGACAAAAUGAGAAUCGAGAUGUCGAAUUACGCACAUUGGAGUUUGCAGAGGACUUUCUGAAUCUUCUUGUAACAUUUCUCGCAUUGGAGGUCCGCUUCAAUGAUCAAGAUAGAAUCCUGCUGGUAAACAAGCUGAUCGAUGUCCCUCAACAACUCGUCUUCAGUUGAGAGAAGCCGGGACCGAGCAGAGAAAUAUAUAGGCGUCUCAAUCUCACUAAUCGUCCAAGGCAGAACAAAAUGACAAUUGGAAUAGUUGGUGUCUUGG